CUAGGUUAAUGGUGGAGGGAUCUGGCCUUGCUCUAGGUUAAUGGUGGAGGGUUCUGGCCUUGCUCUAGGUUAAUGGUGAGGGAUCUGGCCUUGCUCUAGGUUAAUGGUGGAGGGAUCUGGCCUUGCUCUAGGUUAAUGGUGGAGGGUUCUGGCCUUGCUCUAGGUUAAUGGUGGAGGGAUCUGGCCUUGCUCUAGGUUAAUGGUGGAGGGUUCUGUCCUUGCUCUAGGU